ACAAAGAGCGUCCUCACCUAAAAAAGAAGAAAGGAGGUUCCUGGGAACCCUCCCUCAUCCCUAACUUGGGGAUACCCCACACCUCCCGCAGCCUUAGGGGGUGGCACGCCAGAGGGACGAUGCCAGCCUGAGUGAAACCUCGUGGGCAGCCAAAAGCCUUAAACCACACAUGGACAUUGUGGAAUUUUUGGGAGGGGCGUCCCCAUCCUUCGGGUGACGGCGGAGCAAGCUGCUAAGGCAUCAUGGAAAGAUAAGCUAUCUAGCCCAUCUCCCAGCCUGGGAGCAGCAAACAUUCCUGCUUUGUGUAACAAAACCUCUGGCUGACCUAUAUCUAUUAAAUGACAAAAGGUACUCAUGGCCCUUGUGUCAACAGCCCCGGUGAUGCCCAUCGGUGCUGGUACCCAUCGCUGCUGGUACCCAUCGCUGGGUGCAUGAGGGCUGCCAGAAAACAAGCCAGCCGUGAAAAUACGACGGCCAUCCAGCGCUCGACUCCUCUUGGAAAGCAAGGCCUGUUCCGGCCAGGAAAGGAUGCUCAGGGCCUUGCCCAGAGGGAUGCCGAGAGCUCCCGGCAGGCUGGGAUCAGCGCAGGCACGUCCUCACCCCUUCAAGAGCCGGGGCUGCGGUUAGGCACAGCCUGGGAGCCUGUCCCCUCCGCCGGGACCAUCGGCGGUGGGCUGGAAGCCACCCACCAAGGCACUUUGGGGGACCCCCCGCCGGCUUUCUGCCUGUCUUCCGAGAUCAGAAGGUGAUGGAGCAUCCCAAGGCGCUCAACGUUGCACCCGAGGCUCUACUCAAGUAUCUCCCGGCAAGGGCUGGGGAGGGAUUCAGCCGGAGGAGCACCCCUGAAAUUCAACGUAAAGGCGGCAAAUUUAGCCUUUCCUAGGGGAAAAAAAAACGUAUUCCUCUUCGGACAGGUCCGCCUGAGCACGGCUGCUAUCCAGGGAAUCGGCUCAUCCAGCUUCCCAGCUGGGUUUGCCUCCCGAGCAGGCUGAGCAUCCCUGCGCGGUCCCCUCCGUCUCCAUCAUCCCUCGAGCCUCCGGUCCUCCCCGGCACGCUGGCUUCCCACCUCUCCUCUCCCCAGGGAGCUGCGUGGAACACCGGAGGCGUCAGAGACGGCUCCGGGGGAGAACCCGCCGCCAAUUUGCCGCGUCCCUGAAAUCCAAACCCCUACGAGCCCGGCUUGCCAGAUCGUUUAGCCCCGUAGCCCAGCGGCAGAGAGAUGGGAGAGAUAAAAGACCCUGAAAAACCCUCUGAAAUUCGGCCUCGCAAAGGAAAGCCUUCUCUUCGGUCAGAAGUACCGAUGUUUGCUCCGGGAAGCUGCUGGCCACGGGCGCAGGACCUCGCAGGUGACCACCACCACCUUGAUUUCCUUCAGCGAGGACGACAGCUACGGGAUCGCACGAGGAGCACGCGAUGUCCCCUUUCCAGGGUCCUCCUCUGCUCCUGCCGCUGCGCCCCACAGCUCCCACAUUUGCCAGGGCCGCUGGAUCCCACCUUUGCCGCCUCGCUCCUGGUUUGUCCCCUCCUGGCUUUUAUUGUCCCUGCAGAAAGUCUUCUCCUAGCCUCUGCUACUCUCCUCUCCCUCCGAAGCCAUCUCCAUCCCACUUCUCGCCCGUCCCUCUCACCUCUGCGUCCCACCAUCACCUUCUGCUGUCCCCGAAA